UAAUAACAUUUAUCUUUAUUUCAUAUAAUUCUCAUAAUAUGGAUGAGAAGUUUCUACUAAUGACCGAUAAUCAUUGUCUAUGAAGAAAGUGUAUCUAGGG
rnacentral:ncRNA from 2 species